AAAGGGGCGUGGUGUACAGGUAAUUUGCAUAGGCUACUGGGAGAGACCGCAGCUCCACAGGCAUCCUCACAGAUUACCCAUAUCUGCAAUGGCUUCCACAAGUUCACCUGGAACCUCCAAAUCUCAAGAUAUACAAGAUCUUUUCUUGGAGGGGGACCGUGACAGAAGAGUCUGCCAGUGGAGUACUUUUACCACCCAUCCAGUGCCCUCUGAGGCUACAGACUAUGGCAGAACUGAGGGCAGCCAAUGGCGGAUAGCUUUGCAUGACUGCACUUAACUAUGUGAUUCUUUACACAUAAACAUGGCAGGACAACACAGGAAAAACAUUUUGUUUGUUAUUUUAAAAUGACAAAUACCACUACUACUUUAUAUGUAGUACUGAUUUUAAUCCUUAACAAUUUUUGAAAUGACAUGCAUUUACAGUAUGGGCUCCAGCAAAACAGUUAAAUCUGUACCUUUUCAGUGAAUAACAAAUAAAUAUAUUCAAGUAAGAA